CAGAGCCGGUCCUGGUGCAGCCAGUGUGGCAACAGUGGAUCCAGUUUCCACAGGCAGCAGCGUUUGUUCCACAGUUGAAGUGUUAGCUGUUGCGUCGCGACAAGAGUGUCUCGUGUCAGAUCAGCCUGCACUCGGGGAUCUUGGAUGGAGCCAUGACACCCAGGGACAACCAAACCUUUAGUUCAUAGGCCAAGCGACCCAAGUGGCAUGAGAAGAACAUGCCCCAGAUGUUCAUGGCCUCUUCUGCCUGGACCUCAGAUUGAAACAUAUGGAGCAGACACAAACCCACCCUGAACCCUGGAGCCACGCCACCUAAUUCUCCGCAGAAGCAGAGCCACUCCAGCUGAUCUGCGACCCUUACAUGAGAAAAGUACACUGCAUGAGCCUUUGAGUUUUGGGUCGUUUGUUACACAACACGAUUGCAGCGAUAGCUGUCUACUACAUUGGUUGAAUUCAGAGGGGCAAAAUGAUAAGAGUAUUCUAGUAGACAGAAUAAUGACCCCCCAAAGAUCUCCGUGUUCUAAUCCUGGAACCUGUGAAUGAUGCCUUCCAAGGCAAAAGGGACUUUGCAGCUGUGACUAAGUUGAGGAUAUUGAGAUGAGUGGGUCACCCUGGUGGGCCCAAUGUAACCUCCAAGGGUCUUUAUAAGAGGAAGGCAGGAGAGGCAGAGUAAGAGAAGGAGAUGUGACAACAGAAGCAGAGGUCAGGGUGAUGAGGCCAUGAGGCAAAAAAUGAGGGCAGGCUCUAGAAGCUGUGAAAGGAGAGCUUUUAGAAGGAAAGCAGCGUGACCAACAUCUUGAUUUUAGUUCUGUGAGAUCUGUUUCAGACUUCUGACCUCUAGCACUGGAAGACAAUAAAUUUGUAUGGCUUUAAGCCAAACCGUUGUGGUAACGGUUACAGCAGCAAUGAGACUAAUACAAAUAUAUUAAGAUUAAAAGGAUAAUUGCUAUUGCUCUCCCUGUUAAAGGAAAAUAUUUAUAUUUAAAAUAAUACACUAUGAAAUCAUCCUACUAAUGCAUUUAGAAAGUAUCCUUUCCUGGAGUCAAUCACCUCAGUGUAUUUCCAUUAACUUCUCACUUAAUGUGAUUGAAGAAUCAAGAUGGUAGCAUUAUCUUUUAAGUAGAUUAUAAUCAUCCUAUGGAAGAAUAAAUGUGUAAUACAUAAAUACUUCACAAUUCAUAUUAACUGCAUAGGGGUGAGG